AUUAUUAAUCAAAAUUGUCUUCUUUUUUCCAGGCCGCAGGAGGAAGAUAUAUAUAUGCCACUUGGCCGCACCAACCGUUCAGGACUCGAUAUUGAUGAUCUUUUUGACCUUUUCGGCAUCAGACCUACCGAGCCGACCACUGUUUGAAUACCGGUGCUUUGGCGGACCGGGGCUUGGCCUCACUCACGGACUUUCUGGGCAGCAGCGCUUCUCUUGCGUUUAUAUAAAAAAAAAAUCCGCUGACCUCCUCCACAGACGAAUUGGAGGGGUCAGAAUUCUAGCCGUUUUCACGUUGGGUGUUGUCUUAAAAAGAAGAAACACUUCAUAGAAACACCAAAAGAAAAACAUACACUAUUCGAACAACAAAAACUUACAAAUUCUUGGUCACACACACACAUACACAAUAAACAGCAAAUAAAAAAUAAAAAUUAC
rnacentral:sRNA from 1 species